UGUUGAAUAUCUUAAAGAUAUGAAAAUACCUUUCCUGAGUGUUUAAGACAGGAACUUCCAACAAUAUCAGGGUCACUUGCUGGGCACUGCUUAUUAACUGUAAGGUAGAGACCCUAUAUCUGUAAUCAAUUUUAUUUUAACUGGUCAGUUAGCAUCUUUUUUCAGGUCUUAUUUGUAUUCACCAUGGGUGCCACAGUUGCAGACACAUAGACUUUACUAGAAUGUAAGAUUUCAAAACAAAAUAAAAAUUUACCUUGACAUGUUCACAUCAAAGUUUUUAUUCACCUCUUUAUUCUUUUCGGAAUACUGUUAUAUAACCAGGCAGGAUGGAUUGGAUGGGACUGUGAAAAACAAAAUUCAGUAACCAUUCACUGGGAGUGCUGCUCAUGCUAUUUUUAUUCAGGACUUGCAAAGUUCCUCAGAGAUGACUGAGCAUCUCUUUGGAAAUGAAUCUUUUAAUUCUGCAGUGAUGCCAGGAGUUAGGUUGGCAACCCAGACUUUGCCUUGCUCAGAGCCACGUUCUUUUCUGGCCAACUUGGACACCUUACAUUGAAGUCUAUGUGGCUCAGCACCAGGUUCACUCUGGAGGGUGCUUGUUAACUUGCUGUGCCAAAAAGGUCUCCUCUCUUUCUUUGCCUAUGUAAAGUCACUUCAUUUCUCAGCAGUGGUUAAUCUGUUAAAAAGUGGGGUGAAGGCUUUUGAUGGUGUGGGUGGGGGGAGAGUGCUAAAAGUAAGUAAGAACUGUUCUAAGGUAUAUUCAAAGACACUUUGAACCUUUACUUUUCAUAGAUGCCUCUUAUUCCCCUAUUGCUUCAUUAGCAUGGGUUUUAUCCAGAAGUUGACAGAACAGAAUCUGAAGUUCACUUAUCAAAGGUAAAAAAAAUC